CUGUCAGGCUGUCAUCGGCUAAGUACACACAAGGUAGUGUCACACCAAGAAAUGUAAAUACAACAGAAAAAGUUGUAGGUCUAGUGCAUUCGGAGAACAAGUGAGAAAUAUUUUUUUUCGUGACUUCCCUACGAAGCAGACACAAUCCUUGGUAAAGAUCUAAACAAAGAAAUAUAACAGUGAGCGCUAGCACUUAGGAACAAACAUGACUCCGCUAUGGUUGGUGGUUAAAUUCCAGAUGGCUGAAUUUGCACAAACGGCUCAAUAUUUGUUUCGGAUUAAAAAGUCGGCUGCUGCUGCAACUGUUACGAAAUCUUCGGCGGUCUCACAAGAUUUGGCAACGCUGUCCGUCAUUCAUGAGCUCCCGUCCGGGCGGCGGGCGGCGACCUGGUGAGACGUCGGCGAGGGACCGGCGAACGAGCAGAGCGGGGGCGUCGCGGCGCGGGUUAAUGCGAGAGCGAGAGGCCAGCGGAAGGCGGGGACAGCAGGGGCCGCGGCACGGAGCACUCCAGGGCCCCCGGCCUGCCACCAUGUCGCCCGUGCCCGCGGCAAGCCAGCGACGCCCCCACUCUUCCGGUCGCCUUCCCUCGCCGCGGACCGCGGUGCCAGCGUGCCGUGCUCCGCACCUGACCGUGUCUUCCGUGAUUUGCUUUUAGGACACGGCACGGCAUACACGUUGCAUUUCGGUACACAAGACUGCGCCGCGUACGCGUAUAUACGCGAUGAUUCCAGGGUUCCGGGAGGAUUCGUUCAACUCCACUGCUUAAC
rnacentral:lncRNA from 7 species